UGCAGUCGAACGAUGAUCCUUCAGGCUUGCUGGGGGGAUUAGUGGCGAACGGGUGAGUAACACGUGAGUAACCUGCCCUUGACUCUGGGAUAAGCCUGGGAAACUGGGUCUAAUACCGGAUAUGACUCCUCAUCGCAUGGUGGGGGGUGGAAAGCUUUUGUGGUUUUGGAUGGACUCGCGGCCUAUCAGCUUGUUGGUGGGGUAAUGGCCUACCAAGGCGACGACGGGUAGCCGGCCUGAGAGGGUGACCGGCCACACUGGGACUGAGACACGGCCCAGACUCCUACGGGAGGCAGCAGUGGGGAAUAUUGCACAAUGGGCGCAAGCCUGAUGCAGCGACGCCGCGUGAGGGAUGACGGCCUUCGGGUUGUAAACCUCUUUCAGUAGGGAAGAAGCCUUUCGGGGUGACGGUACUUGCAGAAGAAGCGCCGGCUAACUACGUGCCAGCAGCCGCGGUAAUACGUAGGGCGCAAGCGUUAUCCGGAAUUAUUGGGCGUAAAGAGCUCGUAGGCGGUUUGUCGCGUCUGCUGUGAAAGACCGGGGCUCAACUCCGGUUCUGCAGUGGGUACGGGCAGACUAGAGUGCAGUAGGGGAGACUGGAAUUCCUGGUGUAGCGGUGAAAUGCGCAGAUAUCAGGAGGAACACCGAUGGCGAAGGCAGGUCUCUGGGCUGUAACUGACGCUGAGGAGCGAAAGCAUGGGGAGCGAACAGGAUUAGAUACCCUGGUAGUCCAUGCCGUAAACGUUGGGCACUAGGUGUGGGGGACAUUCCACGUUUUCCGCGCCGUAGCUAACGCAUUAAGUGCCCCGCCUGGGGAGUACGGCCGCAAGGCUAAAACUCAAAGGAAUUGACGGGGGCCCGCACAAGCGGCGGAGCAUGCGGAUUAAUUCGAUGCAACGCGAAGAACCUUACCAAGGCUUGACAUGGACCGGAAAGACCUGGAAACAGGUGCCCCGCUUGCGGCCGGUUUACAGGUGGUGCAUGGUUGUCGUCAGCUCGUGUCGUGAGAUGUUGGGUUAAGUCCCGCAACGAGCGCAACCCUCGUUCUAUGUUGCCAGCGGUUCGGCCGGGGACUCAUAGGAGACUGCCGGGGUCAACUCGGAGGAAGGUGGGGACGACGUCAAAUCAUCAUGCCCCUUAUGUCUUGGGCUUCACGCAUGCUACAAUGGCCGGUACAAAGGGUUGCGAUACUGUGAGGUGGAGCUAAUCCCAAAAAGCCGGUCUCAGUUCGGAUUGGGGUCUGCAACUCGACCCCAUGAAGUCGGAGUCGCUAGUAAUCGCAGAUCAGC
rnacentral:rRNA from 1 species